rnacentral:rRNA from 1 species
CCNCNUGANUGAAGAAGNAUUUCGGUAUGUAAAGGUCUAUCAGCAGGGAAGAAAAUGACGGUACCUGACUAAGAAGCCCCGGCUAACUACGUGCCANCAGCCGCGGUAAUACKUAGGGGGCAAGCGUUAUCCGGAUUUACUGGGUGUAAAGGGAGCGUAAACKGCUCUGCAAGUCUGGAGUGAAAGCCCGGGGCUCAACCCCRGGACUGCUUUGGAAACUGUGGAGCUAGAGUGCAGGAGAGGUAAGUGGAAUUCCUAGUGUARCGGUGAAAUGCRUAUAUAUUAGGAGGAACACCAKUGGCGAAGGCGGCUUACUGGACUGUAACUGACGUUGAGGCUCKAAAGCGUGGGGAGCAAACAGGAUUAAAUA